UCAGAAGGUCCAGCCCACAGAUCCCCCACUCCCCACCAUGAGAUAGUCACUGCUGUGUCCCUUACCUGGGGCAUGGGGGCCAGGGGGUCUGCUUCUCCCAGCAGUCCUGCCACCUCGACUCUGCCCCUCUUGCUGAAGCUGGGAGCAAUGCUUCACUGGCAGCGGAGAUGAAAGUCCCGUGUGAAUAGACAGCAGAAUGAGCCCUUCAUGUGGCCGGCCAGCCGGAACAGAGGGCGACAGGCAUCCAGACAGGAUGGCUGGAGCUAUCCACUCCCCACCAGCCCCCAGCCGCCUCUUGGGCCCCCAAGAUCUCCCUCUGGUUUUCUAAGCCAGGGGCUCUGAGCUGCUAAGAGAAACUGAGUCACAGACAUGGGGGCUGUCAGAGGGCUAGGCGAGGUUUGUGGUUCACCGCUCUCCCUAGGCUGCCUCUGACCUUCCCCCUUCUCUGUCAUUGGCCAGCUGGCUUCAGCAGCUCUGACCAGAACUUUCUUUGAUGAAUAAAAAUGGAGACAAAUUAA